CACAAGUAAACAGUUGGUAGAAUGGGUAAGAGAGGAAGGUGCCAUCAUAAGAUGCUAUGGCGGAAUGACAGUAUCAGAAUUUCUCAAGAAUAAGAAAACCUGCAUACCUGAAAAUGGGAAAGUGAAGCAUGUCAUUUUGAAUUUAGGAAGCAAUGAUCUUAGCAGCUGCUCUGAUGUGUUGGAAGAAUUGACAAAAACAGGGGAUGAAAACACAGUAGAAGAAAUUUUUGAGGUAAUUGCUGGUCAGAUCGUAUCUGCAGCGAGAGUUUAUAUGGACUUGAGAAAGAAUGUUGGUGUCCUUUUGCCAGGACAUAGAAAGGGGUUGAAAAAAGAAUAUGUAGUGAGACUGAAUAAGAUAUGUAAAACGAAAUUGGAAGAUCUUGGAAUUGAUUAUGUGGAUGUGGCAGAAGAUAUGGAAGAUAAUGGAGGAGUAAGAGUAUGUACAACAGGGGAUGGUAUACAUUUCAAGUUUACAUAUGUAACUAGAAUUGUAGGUAUGUUGUUUAACAAAAUGGGAUUGGAUUUUGAAUUACCUACAGAGGCCCUGGAAGUUAGUUGGUCAAGGACACUAGCAGGACUUUGUAUGAGAUGUGGAAAAGACAGACAUUCCAGACUGACAUUUUGUAAUGUAGACUCUGAAUGUGCAUGUUGUGGAAAAGAUGGACACAAGGAAAAUGUGUGCAGGUCGCGGUUUGAGCAAUGUCAGGGAUGUGGAAAGUAUGGACAUUAUGUAUUUAAAUGCCCGUGGAAAAGAGACAGGAAGAUGUAAAUAUUUGAAAUAGUGCAGCAUAAUGUAUGAAAGAAAUGAACAAUAUGGAAAUGUAGAAAAAAAGGGAUGAUAGAAUGAAGGGAAUUGUUGGGGGUGAUGGUUUUUCACUUUUCAGAAAAAAAAACAUAACCAAUUACUUCAUUUAUAAUAUAAAUAUAAUUAAAUCUAUAGUGUUCAUCCUGAAUUAUUACAAAGUCAUAACAGUGUGCACUGUGCACUUCAUUAAAAAGUGAAACAUAAUGAAAAAAAAACCACAUGAUAUUGACAGUUUUAUUUGCUAAAGUGAAAAACGACCACCCUAGGAAUAGGUAGGGAACAAUGCAGGAAUUCUUUCAAUGAAAAUACAAAAUUUCUUCUAUGCUUGUAUCAAAUAAUUAAUCAUAUAUUCAACUUAAAAUUGACAUGAAAUUACCAACAUUCUUAUCCACUUAAAAUUAACAAGCUUUCAUAUUCCAAUAUUUUGAAAUUGAACCCUGCAACCUAAUCAAAAAAUACUUUGGAAUUAGAUACAAAAGCUAAUCUCUGAUUUCUUUUAGCUAAGAUCUCCUGCAUUGUUAUAGGGGUAGCUGUAGGGGAGAAGGGAGGCUACCAUUUUUUUUCAGAUUAUUAAAAUUCUUUCAAGAUCAAAUAGAAUUUGUAUUCAUACAAAUUCGUACAAAUCUGGUGGACUUUUAAAGCAGCUACAUACAAUGUAUAUCAGAAAACUGAAGAGAGAUUUGUUCCGAUGGAUGUGAUGGCAUAUACUAAAUUCAAUGCCAUCGAUAGUACCAAGAGAUGUAAAUAUUUGAAAUGGUGCAACAUAUGUAUGAAGAAAAUUAACAGUAUGGAAAUGUAGAAAAAUGGAUGAUAGAAUGAAGGGAAAUUGUUGGGGCUGAUGAUUUUUCACUUUUCAGAAAAAAAAACAUAAGCAGUUAUUUCAUUUAUAAUAUAAAUAUAAGUAAAUCUAUAGUAUUCAUCCUGAAUUAUUACAAAAAGUCAUAACAGUGUGUACUGUGCACAUGAUAUUGACAGUUUUAUUUGCUAAAGUGAAAAACCACCACCACAAUGCAGGAAUUCUUUCAAUGAAAAUACAAAAUUUCUUCUACGCUUGUAUCAAAUAAUUAAUCAUAUAUUCAACUUAAAAUUGGCAUAAAAUUACCAACAUUCUUAUCCACUUAAAAUUAACCAGCUUUCAUAUUCCAAUAUUUUGAAAUUGAACUCUGCAACCUAAUCAAAAAAUACUUUGGAAAUAGAUACAAAAGCUAAUCUCUGAUUUCUUUUAGCUAAGGGCUCCUGCAUUGUUGUGGGGGAGUAGGGAGGCUACCAUUUUUUUUUUUCAGAUUAUUAAAAUUCUUUCAAGAUCAAAUAGAAUUUGUAUUCAUACAAAUCUGGUGGACUUUUAAAGCAGCUACAUACAAUGUAUAGCAGAAAAGUGAAGAGAGAUUUGUUCCAAGGGAUGUGAUGGCAUAUACUCAACUAUGCAUGAUGUUCAUGGAUUGGAGAUGACUUUAUUAAUAUAUGGUGAAUAUGUACUACAAUCAACAAACAUAAAUUAAGGAUUCAGAUAAUAAACAAAGAAACCAGCUUUUGUGGCACUUAGCUAAAAGUCAUGUAAAAUACAGAGAACAGUAAAAAUACUGAGAAGAGUAAAUAAUCCAUGUAGAUAUUUUGUUGUUUUGCUCAUCCUACUUUUCUGAAGAUAACAAGACACCAAGAAAUUAUGCCAAACACUUCUCAAAGUCCAUGCUUUUAGAAUAAAGACAGUAAUUCUUUUAAAAAAAUUGUUGUGUUAAUGUGAAUGAAAUGUUGUACUGAUAGCAGUCCUACAACCCAGUUUAAUUUGACAAGCCCUCCACAUAAA